rnacentral:rRNA from 8 species
UUGGAGGGCAAGUCUGGUGCCAGCAGCCGCGGUAAUUCCAGCUCCAAUAGCGUAUAUUAAAGUUGUUGCAGUUAAAAAGCUCGUAGUUGAAUUUCGGGGUCAGUAGAUUGGUCAUGCCACUGGUAUGUACUGGUCUCACUGAUUCCUCCUUCCUGAUGAGCCGUAAUGCCAUUAAUUUGGUGUUGCGAGGAAUCUGGACUGUUACUUUGAAAAAAUUAGAGUGUUUAAAGCAGGCUAACGCUUGAAUACAUUAGCAUGGAAUAAUGAAAUAGGACGUUCGAUCUUAUUUUGUUGGUUUCUAAGAUUGACGUAAUGAUUAAUAGGGAUAGUUGGGGGCAUUAGUAUUCAAUUGUCAGAGGUGAAAUUCUUGGAUUUAUUGAAGACUAACUACUGCGAAAGCAUUUGCCAAGGAUGUUUUCAUUAAUCAAGAACGAAAGUUAGGGGAUCGAAGACGAUCAGAUACCGUCGUAGUCUUAACCAUAAACUAUGCCGACUAGGGAUCGGAUGAUGUUAAUUUUUUAAUGACUCAUUCGGCGCCUUACGGGAAAC